CAGGGCCCUGGUUUUCAAUGGCUGUAUCAGAUGGAGCUUUAUCUCUGCAAAUGAUGUUUCUUGCAGAGAAAUUGCCCCUCCUUCAUCAAGAAUGUGAACUGUAAGACAUCCUCAGUUACAGAAGCAGGCAAUACCCUGGGAAGUUCAAAAGCUGAGAGAACUCUCCAAAGAAAUUGAGAUCCAUUGUUUUAGGAAGAUUAUAUUCCAGAGACAUUCAUUCAAGGGUAAAGGGACAGUCAGAUCUCUGAAGGAACAACAACAGCAAAAUGACACGCUGGGAGUCAAAUAAGCCAGGCACGUUCAUUACUAUUAUAUGAUUAAUGUUAUUUGAUAUACAGUAGGUCCCAUAUACGGAGAAGGCAAUGGCACCCUACUCCAGUACUCUUGCCUGGA
rnacentral:lncRNA from 1 species